rnacentral:rRNA from 1 species
UACGGGGGGGGCAAGCGUUGUUCGGAAUUACUGGGCGUAAAGGGCUCGUAGGCGGCGGGGUAAGUCGGGUGUGAAAUCUCAGAGCUCAACUCUGAAACUGCACUCGAUACUGCUCUGCUUGAGGACUGGAGAGGAGACUGGAAUUCACGGUGUAGCAGUGAAAUGCGUAGAUAUCGUGAGGAAGACCAGUGGCGAAGGCGGGUCUCUGGACAGUUCCUGACGCUGAGGCGCGAAGGCCAGGGGAGCAAACGGG